UGGGGAAUAUUGGACAAUGGGCGCAAGCCUGAUCCAGCCAUGCCGCGUGAGUGAUGAAGGCCUUAGGGUUGUAAUGCUCUUUUGGCGGGGACGAUAAUGACGGUACCCGCAGAAUAAGCCCCGGCUAACUUCGUGCCAGCAGCCGCGGUAAUACGAAGGGGGCUAGCGUUGUUCGGAAUUACUGGGCGUAAAGCGCACGUAGGCGGAUCGGCAAGUCAGGGGUGAAAUCCCGGGGCUCAACCUCGGAACUGCCUCUGAUACUGCCAGUCUAGAGUCCGGAAGAGGUGGGUGGAAUUCCUAGUGUAGAGGUGAAAUUCGCAGAUAUUAGGAAGAACACCGGUGGCGAAGGCGGCCCACUGGUCCGGUACUGACGCUGAGGUGCGAAAGCGUGGGGAGCAAACAGGAUUAGAUACCCGGGUAGUCCCUGAGCGGGCUGG
rnacentral:rRNA from 1 species